CACGUAGUUAGCCGGGGCUUCUUAGUCAGGUACCGUCCUCUUUCUUCCCUGCUGAUAGAAGUUUACAUACCGAGAUACUUCUUCCUUCACGCGGCGUCGCUGCAUCAGGGUUCCCCCCAUUGUGCAAUAUUCCCCACUGCUGCCUCCCGCAGGAGUCUGGGCCGUGUCUCAGUCCCAGUGUGGCCGUCCGCCCUCUCAGGCCGGCUACUGAUCGUGGGCUUGGUGGGCCGUUACCCCGCCAACUACCUAAUCAGACGCGGACCCAUCGUGUACCGUACUAGAUAAGAUCUAGGCUUUCCGCCCUGUGCCAUGCGGCACUGUGCGCAUAUGCGGUAUUAGCAGCCGUUUCCGGCUGUUAUCCCCCUGUACACGGCAGGUUGUCCACGCGUUACUCACCCGUCCGCCACUCAGCCACCCGGUCUUUGUACCGAAAUACUCCGUCCGGGCGCUCCGUUCGACUUGCAUGUGUUAGGCACGCCGCCAGCGUUCAUCCUGAGCCAGGAUCAAA
rnacentral:rRNA from 1 species